UAGGGAAUCUUCGGCAAUGGGGGGAACCCUGACCGAGCAACGCCGCGUGAGUGAAGAAGGUUUUCGGAUCGUAAAGCUCUGUUGUUAAGGAAGAACGAGUGUGAGAAUGGAAAGUUCAUGCUGUGACGGUACUUAACCAGAAAGGGACGGCUAACUACGUGCCAGCAGCCGCAGUAAUACGUAGGUCCCGAGCGUUGUCCGGAUUUAUUGGGCGUAAAGCGAGCGCAGGCGGUUAGAAAAGUCUGAAGUGCAAGGCAGUGGCUCAACCAUUGUAGGCUUUUGACACUGUUUAACUUGAGUGCAGAAUGGUAGAGUGGAAUUCCAUGUGUAGCGGUGAAUUGCGUAUCUAUAUGGAGGACCGCCGGUGGCGAUAGCGGCUCUCUGGUCUGUAACUGACGCUGAGGCUCGAAAGCGUGGGGAGCGAACAGG
rnacentral:rRNA from 1 species